rnacentral:tRNA from 1 species
GGCCCCGUAGCUCAGUUGGAUAGAGCAACUGCCUUCUAAGCCGUAGGUCGCAGGUUCGAAUCCUGCCGGGGUCGCCA